GACGAACGCUGGCGGCGUGCUUAACACAUGCAAGUCGAACGAGACCCCGUCUUCGGGUGGGUGUUCUAGUGGCGAACGGGUGAGUAACACGUGGGCAACCUGCCCCCGGCUCUGGGAUAGCUCCAAGAAAUUGGAGCUAAUACCGGAUAUUUCCGCUGACCGCAUGGUCUGGUGGUGGAAAGGGUUUCCGGCUGGGGAAUGGGCCCGCGGCCUAUCAGCUUGUUGGUGGGGUAGUGGCCUACCAAGGCGACGACGGGUAGCCGGCCUGAGAGGGUGACCGGCCACACUGGGACUGAGACACGGCCCAGACUCCUACGGGAGGCAGCAGUGGGGAAUAUUGCGCAAUGGGCGGAAGCCUGACGCAGCGACGCCGCGU
rnacentral:rRNA from 1 species